UGCUGCGUAUUCGGCUGAUGACGCAGUUUUGUUUUAAAGUGGAGUUCUACUUUCUAUUGUAAGUAGUAUUGGAGAGUGAAGACCUUACCAAAGUACAGGAAUUCGCAGAGUCGAGUAAAGCUGAUAUCGUUUGGCAGUUUUGGAGAGGAUCGACCUUUAUUGAAUCUUUAUUCAAGAAAAAGUGACCUGCAACUGACAUAUCCCCUGCUAAAGUAGAAAGGAUAGUGCAACGUCUAUUCUCCAGAGGAAAAGACAUCCACGAAGCAAGAAACCCCAUAGAACGAAUGAUAGAAACAUCAGAACCCCAAAGACCCUUCUACCCCCUCCUUCUCAUAAGCUGGACAUCAGGAUUUUGAACAAGACUUCUUCCUUCUUCUUCAGCAAUCCCUCAGGAUCGAGGAUAACAUUCUUCCACUCCGGGUCUGUGGGUUCAGAGCGGGCUGAUCAAGAACCAUUGACUUUUACAAUGAUGAGGCAGAACAUGCCAUAUCACCUUCUUGCAGCUACCACCAAGCAGGGCAGGAGGUACAGAAGCCUGAAGCCCCACACAUCUACUUCUCCUCAACCAAAGUUCGAACAAAUGCAGGAAAACGAGACUCAAGGUAGUAUAUGACAACGUAUAUUUACUUAGACAAUAAAUU